GUGGCUUUUCUGUCCAACGUGCUGUGCUGUGUGUGCCUGCAGGUCAUAUUUAUCUGCCUGUCAGGACUGUUGGAGCACUGGAUGGAGAGCAGGUCAUAUGAAGAGGAUUACGGAGUAAAAGGCAGCUUGUACUGAAGUGCAGGGAAAGUAUAAAUAUUGAUAUAUAUUGGCACAGUGCUUGGCCUUAAUGCUUAAAAUCCUUUGGAGAGCUGUCUGCAUAUUUACUCUAUUAAUGAUUAAAUGCAAGGCUGUGUUGGGAAAGGUCUUCCAUUUGGAAGUCAGUAGUUGAGACUGUCUUGCCUAUGAAAAAGAGGGAGAAUUUUUGUUAGAGGAUGUAGGAUUCUGGCUGGUAAUAGUCUUAAUUCAAGGUAUUUUUAGAGAAUUGAUUUAAUACAAGCAGAACAAAUGGCCAGAAGUGUAAUGAGAGACAAGCUGAAAUUAGAAAGUAGAUGUGCAUUUUGAAUGUAUUGUCAUAGCAACUGAUUCAAUUCUCCCUCUCUUGCUGUUCUGGGGACCUUUUAAAUGUGCUUUGGCUAAAUAAAAAGUAUUAGACUAUUUCAGAGCCAAAAGGUCAGUUCUUGUUGUCUCUUUUGCACUUUAAUUCUAGUACACUGAUACUUGCUAACCACUUAUAACCCUAGAUGCAGAAUGAGAACUUGGGUUAUUAACAAUAAAGAAGUAAACAGCAGAAAGACUUGACCUUUCUUUUGAAUUGCCCUACAGUGUUAAAAAAUACCAAACAAACCUCCUUCCCCAAAGAAACACCCCCCAAAAUACCCCAACAACUCACCAAACAGAAAAUCACUGACAACCAAAAAGCAGAAGUAACAAACAUGAACAGCAAGUGGAGGAAGAGUUUGAAAGCGGGCUGGACAGAACCAGAAGUGUUACUGCCCACUCUUAGGCCACUGUGCUGAUUAAAUGGGUGUUGUUAGGUUUAGAUUAGUAGUUCGUUGUUGUUGGGUUUUUCAGUGGUGUUGAUUUUUUUGUUGUUGUUGUGGGGGAUUGUUUGUUUGUUUGUUUUUACUUUGUUUUUUUUCUGUAUUAAAAAUCUGGCUCAGUUACUCUCUAGUUCUGGUGUGUUUUCUUUUCCAGGUGGUUGGUGUUUCUGCAGUGUUUGGCACAGGACUGGGGGAGAUUUUUAUCCAGCUUUCUAAAGCUGUAGAUGAAUAUGAGAGACUGAAUGCACUCCCUUUAUUCACCUUUUCAGAGAGUAUCGUCCAGAAUACGAGCGCCUGAGAAAAACACUGGACAGUUCUCUGCAGGCACAGCUACACAGAGUUUGGCUUCCCGGCGCUGCUGAAAACGUCCUAGAAUCCCACCUGACUGGAGGUUGCUUUCCACGCUUAGUCAGAAGUUCUGUGAAACCUUAGUUGAAAUGUAAGACCUGCAUAGUGACUUCUGCUCUCUGACUGGGGGACAGGCUGCUGGGUUUGGGUGAGGUUUCUCUUCUCCUGGUGUUUUAAAUGUUCUCAGAAUCCACAGGUAAAUCUUUGUCUACGGGAGAAAGCUCAAAAUAAACAAAAGAGAGAGCAGCUGGAACACUUGUGGAAGGACAUGGGCAGCGUGUGUGUGCAGGGCAGCACAGUGGCAGGACCUGAUGCUUCUGCAAUGGGUCCCUCUGAGCUAAUACUAACACGAGGAACUCUCGAUGACGAGCAAGAAGAGAGGGAGAGUGACGCUGAUGGCAUUGACCAUGAAGGUAAGGGAAUGAGGUCUAAAAGCUGCCUCUCAAGAAAUCCCCUCUAUAUUUCAUGACCUGGAUGGACUGUAAGGAGAGCCUAGAAAACAAGCAAACAUUCAGUCACCUGACGUGUCAGAAUCUGUAGCAGAAGCUCAGCUGCAAUGGUCAGUGCAGGGAUAUCACUCUGUAACCUUUGUGAAAGUUCAAUUGUAAAUUUUCUAUUCAAGUAAUUAAUAGGUGUAUAACACACAUAGACCAGAGAACUCGUUAGGCUUGGGGCAUGCAGUGACCUCUGAACCUGAUUGAUGCACAGAUGUGUCCAUCAUCUUUUUGGCCUUACAGUUUCUGCCCCUGGCUCUCUUCCCUUUUCCUGUGACUGUGGUCUUGGAGCAAUCUUCUAAGUUGUUACAGUGUGAUUUUUCUCUUCUAUAGCUCACAGACUUAAUCUUCAUUCUUUCCCUGUUCCACUGAUGGGUAGGAUCACUUAUUUCCUUUGCCCUGUAAUGUAGCUGAAGAUGGAAUAGACUUUCUAUGUUGCUUUGGCUA